GCCAGGCACAAUGGCACACUCCUGUAAUCCCAGCAGCUCAGGAGGCUGAGGCAGGAGGAUCACUAGUUCAAAGUCAGCCCUAGCAACUUAGCAAGGCCCUAAGCAACUUAGUGAGACCCUGUCUCAA
rnacentral:sRNA from 1 species